CAAUCCUGUGCCGACCUCAUCCAAAAGCCAGCACCGGGGAUCAGCUGGGAUGAAGAGCAGUGGGGCAGCACAGAUCAGUCAGUGAGCAGAAGCGAUCGGACUACAGUGAGGCACACAGUUGAUGAGCUCUUAGGGGCCAGCACAUUUCUCUGACUGUUGGGGACCCCGCCAUUCAACAGCCAGGAUGGCUCGGGAUAUGUCAGAUAAGGAAAUCUUGAAAAUGGAGCUAGACCAGUUGAAGAAGGAAGUUAGCACACCUAGGACACCAGUGAAUGCAAACUGUACAGACACAAUUGCUUUUGUGGAGGGACUGGCCCCGAAUGAUCCGCUGAUUAAGGGUGUUCCCGAUGACAAGAACCCUUACAAGGGAGACAAGGGCGGCUGCAUAAUAACAUAGCACAUAGAAAUCCAAGGAAAAGUCACACAGUUUUUUAUGAGAGUUGGUUGCAUUGCUGUGAUAUUCCUGUAGCCUUUGUGGAUAAAAUGUACAGUCGAAAGAAAACUGAAAUCUGUAAUGGAUAAUUCCAUCACUGGAUUUCUGUAUGCACCUGUGGAUAGUCUUUGUCAAUUUAUAAUUAAAUCCAAAUAGCUGUGCAAAGCUUCAACCUGACGUAGCUGUUCUUGUUAUUGAAAAGACAUAACACAUGUGAUUUUUUUGAGCUCCUACUGUACUUUAAUCUCAUUUUAUCACACUGGUUAAUAUUAAAUAGUGAUAACUACUCACUGAUUUGCGUCCAAUAUCCCUGACUGUAAGUCAACAUCUCACCCAUGUUACUGUACAGAAGGGGGUCAAAGUCCCAAGAGAGUCAGUACUACUAAUCGGAUUUCUUUGCUGUGGUAGAGUCAGUCACACGGGUCUGUUGACACGGAGCCGCUUCCUGUAUCAAAGUCUUUAAGCUUAUUCCACACUUCAUCCUGACUUCCAUUUUGAGCUCUCCAUCCAAUUAGUGACGCUUUCAGUGCUGGCAUCAGGAAAUACAAUUAAAGAACUCAACAUCUGAGUCAUCAAAGAACUCAACAUCUACCUGUCAAAUAGCUUUUUAAAGAGGUUUAAAUAUUGUAAGAAUAUUAUAAUAACACAAAAGAUAGAUGAUGGGGCUGCUGGGUACAGAUUACAAAUCAGAGUAUAGAGACAGAAACUAAAACAAAAUACAAAAAAGGAGCAAAAAAGGAUUUUUGAAACAUAACCUAUAAAUAUAUAUAAUUAUCACAUAAUUUACCCGUAAAUAGUAAACAAAUUAUUGCAUGAUGAGUUGUUUAUAUAAGUGUUAUUAUAAAGAAUAAGUAAGAUCAAAAGAUCAAAAGAAGAAUCACUUUUAAAUUGCACUUUUAAGUUUUUGUUGUAAUUUUAGUGUAAUGUAAAAUGGGAGAGUGAAAGCAUUUUGAAAAGCCUCAACAUUGCUGAACAUCAAGUACACAGGUGUGGGGUAACCGGAGUUUUUCUGCCUAUUAUCAAACCAAUCAGUCACUCCCUGCUUGGCUGGGUCUCAACUAAUAAUCAAAACUGUUUAGUAUUUUCAGUCUACAAACAGAGAAAUCAACAGGUCAGCACGAGUGGAACCAAAUCCAAAUAAAACUGAUAAACACAUAGAUAAUGUAUAAAAUAGGGGCAUAGCUUCUCAGUCUAAAAUGUGAAACCUAUGCAAAAGUGCCAUAAACCUGUUUUCUUUCUAAUGGCCAGUAGGGGGUAAAUCUGGCACUUUAAGACAAGUAGACUUAUUUUUUCAAGUCUAGUCAAGUCUGGUUAAACAGCCCUAGACUGCCAUGCUCUCUGAUGUCAAUUAAUACUUUUCUGAUGAGUUUAUGGUCUGAAUUUGUACUUACUAAAGACAAUAUCAUAUUUAUUUGUACAUUUUUGUCACCUUUAAUGUCCAGAUGGACACUAAAUCAGGGUAUACUCAUGACUGUAUAAGCGUCAGUUUUACUUUCACUUGCAAUGUUCGAAUUCAAAAAGCUAAAAUCUCAGCAAAUCAGCUACAUUCAUCUUGUAUAUGCUGUCUAGAAGGAAGAAAGAACAAUUUUAAGAGGUGAGGUGUGUACGAAUCAACUGCCCGGGGACCCUCAGUAGAGUCUUCAUCAGAGUCUGCAGUCAGAAGAGACCAGCAGCCGGACCCACUCUGUCCUAUCGAUCUUUUUGAGUUAACAUCAAUCAUUUCUUCUUCUUAAACAACAAUGUGCCUUUAAGUCUCCAUUCCUAUAGGACUGCUGAAAGAUGAUUAAUUUGAAAUAUGAUUAAUUUAUUUUUAUUAACUGGCUACAUACCACAGGCUUUUGAGGUGGUGACAAUAAAGCCAUUACUUAAAAAGGCCUUACCUGAUCCAGCUGUGUAAGCUAACUAUAGAACAGUUUCUAUCCUUCUUUGCAUUUCACAAAUUCUUAAAAGAGUAGUUUUAAAACAGUAAGCGUAUCAUUUGCAAAGAAAUGGUUGAAAAGCUUCAAUCAGGAUUUUGAGCACACCAUAGCACAAAAACAGCAGCAAUGCUUUUUACAUUAUGCUUCCCUGAAGUAAUAUUAUUAGAAAACACUGUACAUAUUUUCAUUGGUAUUUCAGAUGUUAACUAGAUUCACCUGUAUUUCUAAUGCUAUAACAACUCUUAACGUCUUAAACCCACAAGAGUUACUCAGCCUGCUGAACUGUAAAGGCAUAAAACAUGACACAUGCAUGUAAAGUCUAACGCAACUUGUCCACAGUGUAUUAUCUUAAUUGCCUUAUCAGAUUACAGAUAUUCAGAAUUGCUAUAAUGUAUAUGGGCUUCCUGUGAGUUGGUUGCAAUAACAAAAUGGGAUGUUACCUUUAAAUUACCACCUGUUAUGGGAAUCUGAAAUAAAUUGAGACAACCAGAUUGGCUUAAUGAAUUUGUAACCUUUGUAAAGGGUUCAAAUAUGGAAGCAGUCUUCAUGCUUUUUUUUGACCAAGAAAGGUUGUGAGCCUAGAAUGUUCAUUACAAGUUAUCUGCUGUGGUCACAGGAUGCUGUUCGAACACUGUUAUAAAAAAAGAUCACAGGUGCAUCUGAAAGAAUAAGGUAAGCUUGACAGAGCAAAAUCUCACAAGUCUCCGUUACACAUCUCACAAGUGUUACAGUGUUACACAAAACCAUCAACAUGUAGCGAUUAUUUACAUCUGCAUUUAAUAUUAAAAAAAUCCACUUGAAGUUUAAGGCUACAUUUCUGUCUGCCACAAUUUCAAAUUCCUUUCGACCAUCGUAGCAACUUGUUGCUUCAUUGUGGUUCACCCUAUCUGUGGCUGCAGAUUAAAUCUGUAGCUCAAAGUCGAAUGAACGAAUGUGUAACUUGAGUGCAAAGUUCAUGAGUGGAUUACGUUAAGAAAACUAGAUCAGCUACAAUCCAUAUAUAGCUUCUUUUAAGAGAAAUAUAACAUUGGUGCAGCAGGUCUAAUUUCAGUGUUAUUAGGCUCAUUUUCUUCUAUCGUGUAAGAGUCUGACUCUUAUAUUCACCAGUAAUGAUUUUUAAAAUGCUAAAAUUUACUGAAGCAAGUUCCCUCAGAUGCCCUGUUGUAAAAACAUAAAAUUGGACAUGAAGUCCAAGAAGACUUCAAUACAAUAUUAUCUAAAUUGUCUUAUCAGAUACGAGCAAUUACAACUAUCUCUAUCUAGAUUUGCCGUGAACGCUCUAGAUUGACUGAAUGCAGUUUAUGCAAUAAAAUGGGUUAUUGAUUUGAAAUUAAUAUCUUUAGUAUUUAUUCUUUAAAACAAUUGGCAUUCAGAUUCCCCUACACAGUUUCAGUAUCUUUAACAUUUUAGGAAUUUCUUCAAAAAAACAACAACAACAAAACAAUUAGACCAGUUCCUAAUUUUCCUUUGAUGUUUUUGUCUUUGCCCUAAAUGAGUGCUCAGCAAAAAAAGCAUUACACACCAUCGUUAUUGUAAUCUGUUAUCACAGGAAAAAUGGGCCUUUCGCCACUUUACUGCUUGUCAUAACACAUAUAUCACUACAUAGCAAUCUCUUGCCCCCUUUUCCCCAGACCUUUGGCAUUCAGCAGGAUAAAAGGUGCCUCCUCAGGGAGGCGAGUGUUUAGAUCACACCUGCAAUUGCUGCCGUGUACAAUCCUGCUGCAGAUCGAGAUCCAGAAUCAGCGAAUUGACAGUCUCUGAGAUGUGGCUCUUGAUUUUCUUAGUCUGCCUGCUCAUAUGUGCAGGUAGCACAUACUGGUACCUGUUUGGGAAACCGAGCCCCUUCUCGCUCAACUCAGUGAGACCACCUGCACCACGGGAGUUUGAUCAGAAGAAGCGCGACAAAGUCAUCAAGCAAGGUUUCAGCGUUGACAAAGUGCCCAAGAACCUGGAUGUCAUCGUCAUCGGCAGUGGUAUUGGUGGUCUGACGGCUGGAGCCACACUGGCCAAAGCAGGAAAGAAAGUGCUGGUGCUGGAGCAACAUGACCAGGCCGGAGGCUGCUGCCACACUUACAUAGAGAAAGGCUUCGAGUUUGAUGUCGGGCUUCACUACAUUGGCCAGCUCCAUGAGAACAGUCUGCUGCGUAUCGCCUUUGACCAGAUCUCAGAGGGCCAGCUGGAGUUUCACCAGCUCGAUCAACAUUUUGACACCAUUCAAAUCGGCCUGGGCAACGAAAAACGAGAGUACACCAUCUACUGUGGGAAAACUGAGAUGAAAGCUCACCUGAUGAAGCAGUUUCCUGAUGACACAGAAGCCAUUGACAAGUUCUUUAAAAUCAUGAAGAUCUCAGCUAAGAAGACGCACUAUCUGGCAACUCUCAAGCUUAUCCCGCAGUGGGUGUCUUUAUUCCUGCUGAAGUCAGGCAUUGCAGACCUCAUCUCUCCAGUUUUCCGCCUCUCUGGCACAUGUGCAACAGAUUUUGUGAACACCCUGACCAGCAACAAGGAUCUCCAUACCAUCUUUUCUUACUUUUUCUAUGGUGUGCCACCAAAGGACUCCAGUGUCCUGAUGAAUGCCCUCAUGAUUCAUCACUACAAACGAGGAGCAUACUACCCUAAAGGCGGGGCCAGUGAGAUUCCUUUCCACAUCAUUCGCACCAUUCAGAAAUAUGGAGGAAACUGCCUGGUGAGAGCUCCCGUCUCCCAGAUCCUGGUUAAUGAAGAGGGAGCUGCUUAUGGUGUAAAGGUGAGGAAAGGUCAAGAGGAAGUGGAAAUUCAUGCGCCUGUGGUGGUUUCAAACUGUGGAAUCUUCAAUACGUUCCAGAAACUUCUACCCCCUGAGAUACAAGCCAAACCAGAUAUUCAGCAACGACUGAACAUGAUGAAACAUGGCAGAGGAUCAUUAUUAGUCUUCUCUGGCUUUGAUGGAACAAAGGAGGAACUGGACCUCGUUUCCACUAAUUUCUGGCUGUUCAAAGACAAUGAUAUGGACAAGUCGAUGGAGGACUACUUUGGAUUGAGCAGAGAGGAAGCACCUGAUAACAUCCCCAUGAUUUUCAUCACAGUGCCAUCUUCUAAAGACCCUGAAGCCAAGAUAAGGCAUCCUGGAAAAUCCUGCAUGACAAUACUCACCAUGGUUAACUAUGAAUGGUUUGAGCAAUGGAAAGACACUACUGUGCGCAAAAGGGGUGAUGAAUACUACAAUUACAAAAUGCGAUUUGCUAAGAACCUCUUUGACUGGGCCUGCACUGUGUUCCCUAAAAUUAAAGACAAGUUGGUUUUCCAGGAUGUGGCGACGCCACUGACAAACAUGCACUACCUGGGUGCUCAGCAUGGAGCCAUGUACUCCGCUGAGCACAACCUGGAGCGUUUCCAUGCUGAGGCCGUAGCCAAAAACAGAUGCAACACCCCAGUCAAGAACCUGUACAUCUCAGGCCAAGAUGUGUUCAGCAAUGGGAUAGCUGGUGCUCUGCAUGGUGGACUCCUCUGUGCCUGUGCUGUGUUGGACCGCAUUAUCUACAUUGACUUGCUCCUCCUCAAGAAGAAGCUGAAGAGAAGGAAAGCCAGAGAACUGGCAAAGCUGGCUCAGAAGAAACUGCAGUGAAAUUGCUCUCUUCUUCCCCUGCAGGACAAAAACGGAACUACACAAUGACGUGGCUUCACGGGAGACAGCCUGUCGGAUGGCUGGCCUGUCCAUUCAUUUGGACCAGGCUGAACUACUGGAUGCAGCUCAAGGUUCCCAGAGAAAGACUCUUCCAACAGUAUGUUGGAGCUCCUCCCUGCUGGCCGGCCACAGCCUCCCACAGCUUGCACUCAGCCAGCAACCACAGCUGCUACCAAUAUGAGAACUCUGAGAAGAAAGUUUUAGGCGACACAGAGGAGAGGAAGACCCAGUCUGAAGUUUGCACUUAGGAUCAGACUGGGCUUAAAGGCAAGAGCAGGUGAAAAAAAGAAAGAGCCAGCCGAGUUAGGGUCACUCCUACUUUACUAACCCAUCAUAGUUGAUGUUCUUUAAAACCUUUGUAAGAUGCAUUAAAUAUACACCCUUUUUUUCCACCAUCUAAUAUGUAAAGACAAAACAUUUUUUGUCUUGUCUUUUUUUCUUGAUUCCUUCAAAUCAGUUGUUUUCCUGCUUUGCAAAGAUCACAAACUUCUUCUGUGAUUUCGAUAAAAAGCUGAUGUUUGGGGCCAUCUCUCUCUGUUGAGCUAAAUGGAAAAUCCAAGGAAAAUGGCAGCUUCCCAAAACUCUCUUUUGUCUGCAUGAAAAGCCUUCCACAAUCUGAAACUAGUUGUUAUGUCUUUACACUUAGAGCUCACAAUAUCAGCUUAAUCAUUUUUAAAGUCUCAGUUUAAGGUACAUACUAUAUCAUUGGAUAAAUAUCUGCCUCUUUAUUUGAUUAAAGCUACACUGGCUUCACUAUCUAGCUACCAAGUGCUCUACAAGUAGGGUUCAACAAUGGUGUUGAACCAAAGCAGUAAAUCUCAGGGUAGCUGCUGAACAAUGAGCUUUCCAUGUUGGCUAAUUACGAAAAUGACUCCUUUCACACUCUCAGUUUUGCUUUUACUUGUACUAAAACAUUGCCUAUGUUUGCAUUGAAAUCAAGAAACUAACUACCAGACGGCACCAGACAUGCAUGCUGGCUGAUAGGGUUAAAGUGCCAGCAGUUCCUCCAAGGCCACUUGAAGCUAGCUCCAAAAGUGAAUCAAUCCCUGUGGAAUGCCACAUUAAAAUACCCUAUUUUACCCCCAUAUCUCACUUUGACACAAGCGCAUCUCACCAAAUUUGGACACUUCUCAGACCAAAAAACAAACAUUUAGGCUUUAAAAUCUAGACUCCAGAAAUGAAUAUGUGACAUCAUGAUGACACGUCUUCCUUUUACAUACAGGUUAUGAUAAUAUCAGGUAGGCAGUGCAUGCUUCAUGCACAAUUUAAUUCUGUGGAUUUAAAUUCAGCACAACACCUUUUUUUAAACUCACAAAAAUUCUCCUUCCCAGCCUAACAGCAGAAAUGAAUGUGUCUUGGCAGGCCUAUACUUUCCCUUUUCAUCUGUUUGAUAUAUUUGAUGUAAGACUACUGCAUGUUUGGAGCUUGGCUGGGAGAGAGAGCAAGAGAGAACAGGGAAGAGAGAGGACCAAGUGCCAGAGGGGCCCAAAGACAGGAGAACACUGGAGGCUAACUUUGUAUAUUCACAUCUCUUUUUUUAUGAAAGGGUAAUUUUGGGUAUUCAUCCAGCGCACUUUUUAAAGUCAAGUGUCUAUUCCUGUAAUUAUUACCUCUAUAUCGGUUAGAUAGAAAACAUCUGGACCGAGUUUUGUGUCCAUUUAUUUAAAACUCAAACAGAAUAAGUUGGCGCCACGUUGCUUAAAGAAAAUUAAAGUAAUAAUUAUCUGGCAGACUAAAAAGUCACCCUCAAUUACACCAUGUGUUGAGCUGUACUGAUGAUAUGAAUCUCUGGCUUGAAUCCAUUAUUAGCAAUUUCUAACAGCUGAGCAAUGUAACAUAGAAAAAAAAUGUUAUCUUUUUGCUUGAAUGAAAGAAUUUAACUCUUUGCUCUUUCACACCCAUCUGCACUAUGUGACUGCAGCUCCACCUUCCAGUGGCUGCUUCGGACACAAUCCAGUCUCAUAUUUCACCGUUUGGUCGUCACUCCAAGCCCAUCCUCCACUAAUGCUCAU